rnacentral:lncRNA from 1 species
UUCACCCUCUACCUUCUUAGGACCCUUCCAGGAUGCCAGCGAUGCCAGCACAAGGCUGACCGGGAGGUUUUUUGUUGCGAUAGCAGACAGUGUGGUUCCCUUCCUUGUCUACAAGUGGGUCUCACAGUUUGGAGGCGAGUGGAAGGAGCAACAAGAAGGGAUUUGGAGACCAGAAGACUGCCCUGCCUUUGUCAACACUCAGAGAACUGGACACCAAAAAGGUCUAAUUACUGCAUGUUUUUAAAAAUGAAUAGAACAUAAAGGUCCUGUGGAUAUUUAGGAAAUGAAAGUAUAGCCCAGGAGCCCAGGUGUGCUUCUUUUUCAAUAUUUUCUUAUACCACAGUAAAAGACAUUUUUGUUACAC